UACGUAGGGGGCAAGCGUUGUCCGGAAUUAUUGGGCGUAAAGCGCUCGCAGGCGGUCCUUUAAGUCUGAUGUGAAAGCCCACGGCUCAACCGUGGAGGGUCAUUGGAAACUGAGGGACUUGAGUACAGAAGAGGAAAGCGGAAUUCCACGUGUAGCGGUGAAAUGCGUAGAGAUGUGGAGGAACACCAGUGGCGAAGGCGGCUUUCUGGUCUGUAACUGACGCUGAGGCGCGAAAGCGUGGGGAGCAAACAGG
rnacentral:rRNA from 1 species